CCCGGGCGUAGCGCAGAGGCAGGCGCACGUCGUGCUCUGACGAAGCACAUCGGUUCGAAUCCGAUCCCCGGGC
rnacentral:tRNA from 1 species